GUGGACUAAACCUUUAAGGUGCAUAGACUUGGGCUGGAGCUGCCUGUGCUGGGUUUGUUUUGGUCAAGCAAAUCAUCCCUUAUGAAGACAGCCCUGCCAGGAGAGGUGAGUCCUGGGCUGACACACCCGGUGAGUUACAAACACUGGCUGAGCUUGGGGCUGUGCCAGGCAUAGGAUUUGAUGAGCAACGAAAGAGACGCUGUCUCCACUGUCCGGGAACAGUGAGGGUGAGAGGAGUCAGCGGUGCAGAGAAGCAGGGUGGGGCUUCAUCCUCAGGGAACGGCAUUGAUAGAAGCUCGAGCAACGAUCGUUCCUAUUAUGUAUGUUAAGCAAAGGGGCUGGGGGCAAGGUCAGAAUGCCAG
rnacentral:lncRNA from 10 species